AUCCCUUGUUCACUAGAAACAAGGAGCCCCCUGUCACCUUCUUUUAAAACAGAUCUUUCUGUCUCUGUCUUCAUUUCUCCAUUCAUCCCCCUUCAUUCAAUCCUGUAGCAACUGGCAGUGACAAGUGGUGCCCAGGACAGGGACAUGAGCAAAGAAGGUCUGCUGGAGCAGAGAAAGUGAAACUGACCAGAUGAGCAAGAAACCUUGGGACAAGUCUACUGGCAGCUAAUAUAAGUCUUCAAAAUCAGGUGGACCACCAAAUGGCAAUUGAGAGCUGCAGAACCUGCAAUUACCUUUAUUCAAUUAAUGAAAAAACAAAAAGAGGGAGAUGUUACAGGCCAAAAGAAUGAGGGUCGUGACCAACUCAGCAUACCA
rnacentral:lncRNA from 1 species